GCGCAGCAGGCGCGAAACCUCCGCAAUGCGCGCAAGCGCGACGGGGUCAGCCCGAGUGCCACCCGAGAGGGUGGCUGUGGCCCGCCGUAAAAAGCGGGCUUAGAAAGCGGAGGGCAAGGCUGGUGCCAGCCGCCGCGGUAAAACCCAGCUCCGCGAGUGGUCGGGGCGAUUGCUGGGCCUAAAGGGUCCGUAGGCGGCCCCGCAAGUCCGCGGCUAAAUCCCAGGUCUCAAGCCUGGGACUGCUGCGGAUACUGC
rnacentral:rRNA from 1 species